rfam:Picea glauca, whole genome shotgun sequence.
ACAUGCCUACAACAUAGCAUUAAUGCAUCAGAUCCCAUUAAAACUUUGCAGUUAAGCACGCUUGGGCUAGAGUAGUACUGGGAUGGGUGACCACCCGUGAAAUCCUAGUAUUUUACAUGCC